ACUUCCCUCCUCUCCAGCUGGAGAUGCGGCCUCUAGGGCGCUUGCAGCCCCAGCCACUCCCGCCUCCAGGAUGUCCCCUGCUCAGAAUGAAGACGUAAUCCUGGUCAGUAUGGCUCAGCAGUUGAGCAUAGACACAGGAACCAAGAGGUGAUUGCAAUGUAAAGCUGCUUUGAGAGCCACUGCU